rnacentral:misc_RNA from 1 species
CCGGUUUAAUCGAUUCAAAACCUUGCAUUUAGACACGAUUUCAGUUUCAAUCACUCAGCCAUAAUCAUCGCAAUUGACUCGGAAUCAAAUUCCAACUCAAGACUCGCAUAUAAAAUUAACACUACUCUAAUAGUACUAGUCAACUUGGCAUCUCCAGACCAAAAGUGUUAUGGGUCUAAGAAUGCACAUGGGCAUUACAAACAAGAUUCACAAAAAGACACCCUUUCCAUUCAACAACAACCAGACAUUUACCAUUACAAGAAAAUUUAACAGAAACAUCUCCUAUCAGCUUCUAAACCACAAUGGUUGAUCUGAUAAAACAAAACACAACCCUCCCAACCCACAAAACAUAGCUAAAACUUAUUUAUUUCACAGUCAUAUUAUGUAUAGUAAUCAACAGCAAAGGGUAUUUCUAUGGGUCUUGCUGAUUUCUUUAUUAGCCCAUUUCAUGCCCCUGCUUUAACUAUGUAACCAGUUCUAGACCUACAAGACAAGGGAAAUACAGCAACUGAUAUCAGUUCUUAGCCAGGGAAAGCUUUCACUGGUUUGCAGAGCCUACAAGUACGAUAGGUCCAUCCCUAAAGAACACAAGCGUUCUUGCAGAGUGCUUGCAAUUUUUCAUUAGAACCAGCCUGAAACAUCCUGCUGCUUUGGCAGAGAAUCCAUUGCUAAGCCCUGCAAGUCCUCUUUGUAAUCAAAUGAAGAUAAAUCGAAUGGAGAGCCAAACAUCAGAUUGAAGCUGUUGCUGUUAUUGUUAUGGUUGUUGCUGUGCUGAUUGCUCUCAAAUGCAGGAUUCAAAGAUUUAAACCUGUCGAAUUGACAACCAUCCUGUGAAAACAUUUGAUGGUUACUGUGGAUGUUUGAUUCCUCGAAGAUAGUUCCCUCCAUCAUAUUGCCUUGACCUCGGAAGUAAUUGUCCGGCUGAUGAUGAAUUUUCUGCUGGAAAAUAUUGUGACAUUCAGCUACUCCAUUGUUGCCAGAACUUGCGUUCUUGUUUCCUUGGAUGUUCGUGUCAUAGAUUGACAUGAGCUCAUUGAUCAUCUUUUGCCCAUCUUCCGGAACUCCCGAUAGAUCAAAGGCAGUUGCACCUGUGUUCAUCAUUGGAGCAGCAGGCUUCGAUUGAGCACAGGGUUGAGGAAAGAUCACAGGCUUCACUUCAUUAACAUGAAAAUUUGAACCUGCAAACUCUAAAGAACAGCUUCUGUAUGGGCAAGUUAAUUGAUGAUUGUCCCUAGAUGUCCUGUCAUGGAAACCCAAGCGGAGUUGGCUGUAAGGACAUUGAACAAACUCGCAUGUAUAUAUCUUCUGAUCCACCAUCAUGUUUAUAUCGGCGGAUGACUUUCUCUUUCUAAUAAAAUCAACAUUGGUGAUAAUUUCCCCCUUAAUUGGAUAAGGUUGUAGAAGUGGCAGCCUGUCCCUCAUCCUCUCCAUUCCCAGAUUGGAAGAACUGAUAUUCUCAGGUUUGUACUCCACUACAUCGAAGUUCGGCUCAUCUUCAACCCCUUCAACAUCAUACUCACUGCAAUCAUGAAUGACCAAAGACCCACUCCCCCCAGCUGAUGACAGAGUCGGGCAGGAGUUGGGGUAAAGCUCUCGGGCCAAGGCCUCCUCUUGGUUGAUAAUUGCAAGCCAGGUAGCACUUUCCUUGGCUGUCAUCUUGUCCUGCAAACACUUGGACUGUCUCACAAGCUUACGAAUCUUGGCAAUGUCAGGAGACAUAUGCUUAAUGACUGCAGUGAGAACCCCCACCUUCCAUGCCUUCUUCAAGUCAUGAGGCUUCUUGUAAGGUGGAGGGCCCUGAUCCUUUGGUAAGCCUAGUUGAGGCCACCACUCUUCAUUUCCAGUAGGCCACCAUGGCGGAGGAACGCCUUUCUCUAGAGGAAACCGCCUCUGAGGAGGGUCACAGUGCUGCAUCAGUGCUGAUAAGAGCGAACCCAGAGUUGUAUCUUGAAGCUCCUGCAAGGUAUGUGGAGUUGGACCAAUUGAAUUACAACCCUCAUUUUUGCCAGGGAUCGAAUUGUCUGCUUGGUACUUCGCUAUGGCAGCCGGACCAUUUCGAUCAAACCUUACUUUAUCCUUCCACCACUCUCGAAGAUUAUCAGAAGCCCCAGUCACUGGCUUUCCUUUCUCUGGGAUAAUCCCAUAAACAAAACCCUGAGCUUUACAAACUUCCAUCAUCUUCAACAUAUAUUUUAAGAUACCAUCUUGUGCCCUUGACAUCUUCUUCCUCCUAGCCUGCUCCUGAGACUGCCGCUGCUUAGCAAUAUCGAUACCUUCCUUAUUCUUGUUCUGCUCUUUCACCCUUUUAAUACGCAUCUUGUACCUCCACAUCCUACGCUCAAGCUCAUCAACAUCAGUAUCCUCGUCACUGUAAUCAUCCUCCACGGUAGGCUCUGGGUCAGCUUGUGGAGCGGUCACAUCUUCCCCAAGAGGAGCAGAGAAGAAAUCCAUAUCACCACAAAAUCCUAUUUCAUCAAACAUCAUCAUUUUUAACCUGUAGGAUCUCAAAUGGCCAAGAACCCUCAAACUGUCUUAUUGCAACCUCCGUAUUUUCAAACUUGGAAAUCUAAGGAACAUUUCCUUCCAUAAGGAAGAGAUUCCAGGUCACUACAGCAACAGAGAGACUGUCUCUACAACUGGAGAAGGAGAAAGAGCAAAAGGAGAAGUAGCCUGGUAUAAUAUUUUGGUAAGGGUGUUAAAUAAAGAGAAGGAGAAUACUUGGCGAGUGUGUAAGUGGGCAGUGGGGUUAAAGUAACAAAGCACUUAAACCCAUGAACCAUGAAGAAGGAGAGAGAGAGAGGUUAAUCGAAUCCAAGCAUUGGGAUGUCCGUUUCUGAAGAGUAUUUAAGAUAAGAAAGUGAGUGUUGGGGCCGUCGCGUCGUUGUAAGAGUAAAGUCGUAUGAUCCUCUUCUCUCUUACUACCUUCCUUCUUC